rnacentral:snRNA from 1 species
GUGCUCCCGUCAGCAGCACAUACACUAAAAUUAGAACAAUAUAGAGAAGAUCCCUGAGCAAGGACAACAAACAAAUCUGCAAAGCAUUCCCUGUUUUU